ensembl:lncRNA
CAUCGGUCCCCUUGCUGCCAGUCACCCACCCAAUUGCCACAGCGACCGCAUAUCAAGACCAGCCCUUGCAGCAGCCACCAAUAACACACUGACAAUCUCUGGCUCGCAGCACCAACCAAUCCCACAUCCCCCCCCCAUGCACUAUCCAUGUAUAAGAUGAUUAUAUUAAGAUAAUUUCUUAAUUAAAAAAAACCUCAUCUUACACACGGAGAAGUACAAUAAUUUGCGGUUGAAGGCAGCAAAAACAGUGACACCUUGCAGGACUUCCUGGCUGUGCUCCUGCUCCCUCCCUCCCUCCCCCUCAAGCUGCGGACCCUUUUUUCGAAACAGUGGAAAGGCCAGAAUCUCACCAGACCUCUUAGGUCUAGAGCAGGAACAUCCAACUCCCAAUAGACUGCGAUCUACUCACAGUAUAAAAAAACUGGCAGUGAUCUACCCAUUGUCAUUGGAUGGACCAAAGUUGGGGGGGGGGGAGAUCACUGCCAGUAGAUCACGAUCUACCUGUUGGACAUGCCUGGUCUAGAGUGUUCAGUUUGGGUCUCUGCUGCCCCCCCCCCCAUUUCUGCCAGGGUCUCUGUUUUAGACCCGCCUCUUCCCUGUCUCGUGAGAGCUCCAGAGGCUUGUCAUGUGCUGGAAGCUUUGUGUGUCUUCAGUAGUUUGGACACCUAAGGGUUACAUAAUGCGCUUCUGGCAGGGAGAUAUUGCAUGAUGCCCCCUUGGGUGCUUUCUGAGAGAAGCGAGAAGAGGGUCCCUCCAGAAAAUUCCUGCAGAAGAGCUGGAGUGUUUGUAACUAACUGUUGCUUCAAUAAAAUGGGAGAGAUGCUGUCAGACCGGCAUGCUUGGAAAGUGACACAAUGUGUGGACCUUACGGUGUUCUGCAUAGUGCCCAGAGGUUCAGUGUCUCAAAAAAGGCAGAUGGAACAAUUGCAGCCACAUCCCGGAGAGGCUCUUGGUGGCUUGGCAUGGCCAGAGGUCCACCACAAACUCCUCCUUGUUGAAGCCUUCUGUGCCAGCCUGCCCUCUCUGCUUCCUGUGGCCUUUGCGCCUCCACCCUCAGCCACGCAGAGGUCGCCCGGACCCUUGAACGCUUCUGCCCCAGGUGCCUUGGAAUAUUUCCGUCUCAGGGUUUUCUGGGGCCCUUCUCAGAGGUUUGCUACCACGAGAAGACUAGACACACAGAGGUAGAGUGGGACUAGUGGGACGGUGCCUGCCAGCCCCACCCGCAGCGUCACAUGCUGCCAGCAUCACAUGGGGGGAGCCCCCCCCGUCCCACUCUUCUUUCAGAUCACAUUUAUUUAAAUAAGUACAACUUGCAUUCUCCCUAAAAUUAUAGCACACCGUGAAUUUUAUAUCCUCCUUCCAUAAUCUUUUCCAUGGUUCCAUAUAGAUACUAUAUCCAAGAUCUUGUGCCCAUCUCGCCAUUACAACUUUAACUUGCUCUUCUUUCACUUCCCAUUCUAAUAAAUAGUUGUAUAUUCCUGCGAUAUGUUUUCCUUUAUUGUGAGUUAGCUCUUUUUCAAACUUGGAUGUUUCUUUUGCCAGACCAUCUCUCUUGUCUAAACUCAAUCUUUGGUUUAUUUGAAAGUAUUGGAGCCAGUCUGUCAAGCGGCUUUUAAUUUCGUCAUAUUUUUUCAACAUGGGCUUAUCUUCAACAAAUUCUAGCAGUACUCGAUAGGUGAGCCAUUCCUUUUUCAUAUGCCUUUUUUUGACUGCUAUGGCUUCUCCAGGAGAGGUCCACAAAGGUAUCUUUUGCUCUAACAACCUUUUAUAUUUCUCCCAGAUCUUAUACAGGGAUUUUCUUAUCACUUGAUUCAAGAAACCCUUAUGGACCCUCCCUUUAUCAUAUAUCAAAUAGGCUUUAUAGAUGGCACCAAACUCCAGCAAAAUUUGCUAAAUUGUAUAAAGGUAGAUCACCAACCUGCUGCAGGUGCAAAAAAGAGACAGGGACAUACUUACACAUGUGGUGGAAUUGCACAGUCAUCCGGGAAUUUUGGGACAAAUUAUAUAAUGAAUUCAAAAAGCUAUUCAGAUUUACAUUCAGAAAAAGACCAGAAGCCUUCCUCCUAGGAAUAAUGUCAGCGGAAAUCAGAAAAGAUAUAAGACCAUAGUUUAUGUACGGAACAACAGCAGCCAGAAUAAUAGUGGCAAGAAACUGGAAAAAUCAAACACUGCCCACGAUAAUAGAAUGGGAGACUCUUAUGAUUGAAUACCUCGAACUGGCAAAGAUGACGGGGAAACUAAGAGGGCUCUCAAAGCAGAAAGUAUACAAAGAAUGGAAAAUAUUCAAAGAUUACCUAAAAACAUAUUGUUCAAAUAACAAUCUCCUAGCGGAACUAAACUGAUCCUUGUGAAAUACAACGUGUAAAUGUUAAUUUGUUAGAGUACACGAAAACAAAUUAGGGUAAUAGAAGGCUGUGCGUUAAACGUAAAGAACAAUACAAGUACAAUGAGAAGAAUUGGAAAUCUUUUAUUUAGAAAUUCAAUGAACGAUUGUAUAAUACAGUGGUACCUCAGGUUACAUACGCUUCAGGUUACAGACGCUUCAGGUUACAGACUCCGCUAACCCAGAAAUAAUACCUCGGGUUAAGAACUUUGCUUCAGGAUGAGAACAGAAAUUGUGCUCUAGCGGUGCAGCGGCAGCAGGAGGCCCCAUUAGCUAAAGUGGUGCUUCAGGUUAAGAACAGUUUCAGGUUAAGAACGGACCUCCGGAACGAAUUCAGUACUUAACCUGAGGUACCACUGUAAUGCAAAUUCUUGUUUUGUAUGUUUUCCCCCUCUUUCUUUUCUUGUCUUAAUCUUUUCUUUUUUUAUCUUUAUGUGUGUAUCUGUAUUUGUAUUUUAAUUCAAUAAAGAUGCUGUAAAAAAAAAUAUGUACAACUUACAAAGUCAACAAAAGAUCCAUAAAAGCAUUUUAAAAUAUCAAUAAUUGCUGGCUAGUUAAAAGUCAUGUUUUGAAGGCCUAUGUGAACAAAGAAGUUUUCAAACGACAUCUGGAGGAUGAGAGGGGCAGUUCCUGCUGGACCGCUCCCUGCAAGAAGUUCUCAUCUUGCCUUUGACACAGCCCCGUAACCCCCAAACCCCUACAGCAGGGGUAUCCAAACUUCUUUCAAAGAGGGCCAGAUUUGAUGAAGUAAGUGGAGGGCCGUGAGGGCAGACCCAAAGGGGCCAACCAAAGUUGUUGAGCUUUUUAAGAAGGAUUUUACCCCAGGAAAUGAAUUGCCAUGAGGGCUGGAUUAAACCGAUCAGCAGGCCGGAUUAGGCCCCCGAAAUGGACUUUGGCCAUGCCUGCCCUACAGAAACCGCAAUUGACCUGCAAGCAUUUCCUGCCGUCGCUCUUCCCUGCCUCUCCUGCAUGGAUUUCAGAUUGUAACCUCCGCUAGGCAGGCAGUGGUCUAUUAUUCCUGUCAAGCACCAGUUCCACUGAUGCCAUUUUAUUAUUUUAUCUGCCUACUCUCUUAUUAAUAUUGUUAAUCUUGCGCCUGCAGCUACCUGUUUCACAGUGGAAGAUGAUAUUUGCAUCUGCUGCAUAAUCCUCCAUUUGAAGUUUGAGUAUCUGCCUAAAUCCUCUUGCCCGUUUUUUCAAAGGGGGACGGGGGAGGGAAAUGCCUCCCCUAAGGCGAUAAUGCCUUGGAAAUGAAAAGUUGGCUUUGCAUAUUCAGGACGCAAUUCUCCGUUUCAUGUUCAUAAGCCCUGGAAACCUCUCCACUGAGGGUCCAGGAGUGACCAGUUUCUCCAAGACCCUUUUGCUCAGAGCAUUAAGAAACCAGUGACCAAGGUCCAUGCCCCUGGGCUUGCAGAAGGAUCUGGCAGGGCUGGGUCCCUGGCUUCUGGGCUUGCCAUAUUUCAGCCCCUAGGUGGGAGUUUGUGGCUGUGAUGCAGAAUGGUCUGGUCUUCAUGUAGCCUCUGAAUGUCCAUGAAGUUUCCUUCCUCGUUGUUGUUUAGUUGUUUAGUCGUGUCCGACUCUUGGUGACCCCCCUGGACCAGAGCACGCCAGGCCCUCCUGUCUUCCACUG